rnacentral:rRNA from 1 species
UACGAAGGGGGGGCUAGCGUUGCUCGGAAUCACUGGGCGUAAAGCGCACGUAGGCGGAUUGUUAAGUCAGGGGUGAAAUCCUGGAGCUCAACUCCAGAACUGCCUUUGAUACUGGCGAUCUCGAGUCCGGGAGAGGUGAGUGGAACUGCGAGUGUAGAGGUGAAAUUCGUAGAUAUUCGCAAGAACACCAGUGGCGAAGGCGCCUCACUGGCCUGG